rnacentral:hammerhead_ribozyme from 1 species
ACCAGCUGAUGAGUCCCAAACGGGAUGAAACGCGUGUCCUGAAU